rnacentral:rRNA from 1 species
GAUGAACGCUGGCGGCGUGCCUAAUACAUGCAAGUCGAGCGAACAGACGAGGAGCUUGCUCCUCUGACGUUAGCGGCGGACGGGCGAGUAACACGUGGAUAACCUACCUAUAAGACUGGGAUAACUUCGGGAAACCGGAGCUAAUACCGGAUAAUAUAUUGAACCGCAUGGUUCAAUAGUGAAAGACGGUUUUGCUGUCACUUAUAGAUGGAUCCGCGCCGCAUUAGCUAGUUGGUAAGGUAACGGCUUACCAAGGCAACGAUGCGUAGCCGACCUGAGAGGGUGAUCGGCCAGACUGGAACUGAGACACGGACCACACGCCUCCGGGAGGCAGCAGUAGGGAAUCUUCCGCAAUGGGCGAAAGCCUGACGGAGCAAUGCCGCGUGAGUGAAGAAGGUCUUCGGAUCGUAAAACUCUGUUAAUAGGGAAGAACAAAUGUCUAAGUGACUAUGCACGUCUUGACGGUACCUAAUCAGAAAGCCACGGCUAACUACGUG